UUAAUUGAAACCAAAUUAGAGGUAAAUUAUUGUUAAUAAUUAAAUUGAUUAAUAAUCCAAUUAAA
rnacentral:tRNA from 2 species